rnacentral:rRNA from 1 species
AUUGAACGCUGGCGGCAGGCCUAACACAUGCAAGUCGAACGAGUGGCGGACGGGUGAGUAAUGUCUGGGAAACUGACUGAUGGAGGGGGAUAACUACUGGAAACGGUAGCUAAUACCGCAUACCAUCAGAUGUGCCCAGAUGGGAUUAGCUAGUUGGUGGGGUAACGGCUCACCAAGUCGCCGAUCCCUAGCUGGUCUGAGAGGAUGCCCAGCCACACUGGAAGUGAGACACGGUCCAGACUCCUACGUGAGGCAUCAGUGGGGAAUAGUGCACAAUGGGUGCAAGCCUGAGGCAGCCAUGACGCGUGUAUGAAGAAGGCCUUCGGGUUGUAAAGUACUUUCAGCGGGGAGGCGUUACCCGCAGAAGAAGCACCGGCUAACUCCGUGCCAGCAGCCGCGGUAAUAC